UUUAAGGUGUUUAAAUUGUAAUUUUAGUGAAAGUUCUUUAGAAUUGAAUCAUUGAACUGAAAUGAAAAAAAUUAAUUUAUUUUAAUUUGAUUUAGCUAUUUAAUUUAAUUCGAUUGAUAAAUUUUUUCUUUUCAGUUAUUCAAUUAUCGCGCUUCAUGGGUCUGGCAUUGGAAUGGAGAUUAGAGAACGCUGCCUCAUCCUUCCCUCGUCACAAGGCCACCAUUUGCUUUGGAGUAAUGGUUUUGGGGUUUUAAUCAUUGAGAAAAGGGUCCCUGAGAGAGAGAGAGAUGUGUUUGGG
rnacentral:misc_RNA from 1 species